AUUGAACGCUGGCGGCAGGCCUAACACAUGCAAGUCGAGCGAGCGGCGGACGGGUGAGUAAUGUCUGGGAAACUGCCUGAUGGAGGGGGAUAACUACUGGAAACGGUAGCUAAUACCGCAUACCAUCAGAUGUGCCCAGAUGGGAUUAGCUAGUAGGUGGGGUAACGGCGCACCUAGGCGACGAUCCCUCGCUGGUCUGAGAGGAUGACCAGCCCACAUGGAACUGAGACACGGUCCAGAUUCCUACGGGAGGCAGCAGUGGGGAAUAGUGAACAAUGGGCGGAAGCCUGAUGCAGCCAUGCCGCGUGUGUGAAGAAGGCCUUCGGGUUGUAAAGUACUUUCAGCGGGGAGGCGUUACCCGCAGAAGAAGCACCGGCUAACUCCGUGCCAGCCGCCGCGGUAAUAC
rnacentral:rRNA from 1 species